CUCAUUGAGGGUAAACGUCUGGUCUGUUGAACUGGAGGCAGAGAGGGAUUCCCAGUGCCUCGGCCAGCCCGGGGCUGUAAAUGACUGCCACGGCUGUUAAAGUUCCACUAGCAGGUCUGAGUGAGAGUCCAGUGAGCCAGAGGAGACUAUUACUGUAGUGCAAUGGGCCAAAUUAAAGCAAGGCCUCCCUCCCCUCAGCCACUACACCCAGGCCAACGGGUGCAACCGGUGGCAAUUGUGGACAAUUUUGGAGCGGGGCUGGGAUAGCAGCGCGGGCCGUAACGGCGCAACGCGAGGCCAUUUGGACUGCUCUCUCACGCUAAGGCCCUGCCGCUCCUUUGUUUUGCGCUGGGUGAUUUGUCAGGCAGCGGUGGCAGAAGUCGAGCCCCUGAGGUUGAAAGGCUAUGACCCCAGGAGUGCUGAGUAUGAGGCCAUAAUAGCCCCAGGGCCAGAAGAAUGGCCGUCCACCCGGGACAGGACACCACAAAGGCCUGAUCUGCAUACUUCAGGUCUUGUUGCUAGGAAUGGGGUUUUGUUUGGUAACAAAUAUGACCCCUUCCCCUUCUCUCUCGCUUUCUCUCUCUCUCCCUCUUUCUGCUUUUCUGUCUCUCCAUCUCUCGUUCCUCUCUUCUGCCCCCUGCUCUCCUCUCUGUUCUCUCACUGGUUAUCUCAUGUAUUAUUUCAGUCUACAGGGGCUUUAGUGGAAAUGAAAUAUGUCUGCCAAGCCUCACCGGGCAUGCUCAUAUUCAGUGUAAUUACUAGACAGAGAAUCCAGGCUGCAAUGGGUAUCUAUAAAUCUGGGAUCUCUCACCAUUGGCUUUUGAAACCCUACUCUGCAUUCUGACACCUAACCUUUCACACCGCCGGGGCUGCUGGGAGUAACCUCUGACCCCCUCUCCGAGUCUGCCAGCCCUGCUCAGUCUGACCUCGCCGAGACACAUGACCCCCCGAGUCACAGCUGUGCCUGAUCUGUCCUCAGGGGCCGGAAAGGAACACGUCAAAUGUAUAUGUGUGUGUGUGUGUGUGUGUGUGUGUGUUUACUUGUCUUUUUGUUGAGCAAAACUUUUUGUGGAAGGUACUACGCAGCGCACAGACCCCCCGCGCGCAAUCAAUUUCGUUGAGAUACUUUGAGUUUCCUUGUAGGCCUAUUUGGCGGGGGAACAUGUGAAGCCAGCUGUAUAGCCUCUUGCCUGUUUCUGUUUAGGAGUAUUUUAAUAAAGAAUAUGAAACAAUGUUGUGUCUGUUUGAUGCAUUUCAUUAAAUCAUGCAUAGGUGUUGCUUAUAUGGGCUAAAAUACAUUUGUUCAUAUGGGCUAUAGCAUACCAAAUGUUCAUCUGUUAUGAAAAUAAAAUAUUUAAUGUGUCAAUUUUUU